UUUUUUAUAUUUAUAUAUUAUUUUGUACAUUUAUUUUUACAUUAUUUAUGUAUGUAUGCAUUCAUUUAUUUUUAGAUGUAUUUAUUCCCACAUGUAUUUAUUUUUAGAUUUAUUUAUUUAUUGAUUCAUUUAUUUUUACUUUUCCGUGUGUAACAUGAAAAUGAGGAAGGUGGUCCUAUAGCUUCAGUGGAUCAUUGGUUAAGAGAUCACGCGUAGAAUCGUCAGGCCAGCUAAACGAUAGAUGAGAGUUUUCAAAGAAAAUGGCGGCAGUGAAGCCUCUCAUCCAUUGACAUCCAUUCAAAAAACAGCCUCUGGUCUCCUUCCCCCAACUUUUGUGUUCUUUGCGAGCGCAGAUUCUCGGGGGAAUACAAACGUAAAGUUUCUCGGGGGAACGCAAACAUUUUGAGAGAGAACGCAAAGUUUCUCGGGGAAUGCAAAACAUUUGCGAGAAAAUGCAAAAGUAUUGCCAAAUAAUUUUUUCAUACCAUCUUUUUUUCUUCACCACGUCCAUUUAGGGGCUCCGUACCAUGAAACAUUUACAAAAUUAAAAUAAUACAUUGUGUAUGCCUCAUGCCGAUAACUUAGGAUAUAUUAGACAACCAAAUAACCAUUUUUUUUUUUUUUUUUUUAAUCAAAUUUAAAACAAAGUGCAAACAUUAUAUCUAAUGCCAAAAACAUUUAAUGUAAGUAUAAUACAGCUGUUAUUUCACACAGGUGAAGUCGGCAUGUAGGUGCUGAUAAAUGAUCAUUCAUGAUACAAGUUUAUUCAGAAUCUUUGUCAUUUUUUUUAAGUUAUGCAUUAUCCCAUCAUUCUUAGGUUGAAAUAAGGUAAAAUUACCGACUUUUUGGUAAAUUGUCUAGAUUAGAACAUAUAUCAUCUCUAUGCACAUUGUCUAGACUGCUCUUGUGCAAGUCAGUAUUGUUUACAGUAUAGAGUCGUUUCUAUUUUAAUUCUGUAUAUAAAGAUAACAAGAUUUUUAAAAUCACAUGGUGCACAACUUUUUUGGUCUGGUUCUCAAGGGAGCACUUGGAGAUGCACUUUACACUUUUUUUUAUUAACAUUAAUAACACAGACAACAGCUCUCUCUGUGGACGCGUUUUGCGUGUGUGAGGCUGUGCGCACAGAUAAUGACGCGAGUCUUGAUUUUCACUGUCUACUUUGACAAACAGCCCAGUUAAUUGGCACAGAAUGUCCCUUUUUUAAAGAUUAACAUCUCAAACACAGAUUCCACAUUUAUAAAUCCUAAAAAUAAAGCCAAUCAUUCCAGUAAAAA